AUUGAACGCUGGCGGCAGGCCUAACACAUGCAAGUCGAGCGGAGCGGCGGACGGGUGAGUAAUGCCUAGGAAUCUGUCUGGGCGAGGGGGAUAAAGUCCGGCAACGGGCGCUAACACCGCAUACUCUCAGAUGAGCCAAGGUCGGAUUGGCUAGUUGGUGGGGUAAAGGCCUACCAAGGCGACGGUCCGUAACUGGUCUGAGAGGAUGAUCAGUCAAACUGGAACUGAGACACGGUCCAGACUCCUACGGGAGGAAGCAGUGGGGAAUAUUGGACAAUGGGCGAAAGCCUGAUCCAGCCAUGCCGCGUGUGUGAAGAAGGUCUUCGGAUUGUAAAGCACUUUAAGUUGGGAGGCGUUACCAACAGAAUAAGCACCGGCUAACUUCGUGCCAGCAGCCGCGGUAAUAC
rnacentral:rRNA from 1 species